GCCAGUGUGGUGUAGUGAUUAGAGCCUUGGACUAUGACUCUAGAGACCAGGGUUCGAAUCCCGGCGCAGCCA